rnacentral:rRNA from 1 species
UACGUAGGGUGCGAGCGUUGUCCGGAAUUAUUGGGCGUAAAGAGCUCGUAGGCGGUGUGUCGCGUCGGUCGUGAAAACUUGGGGCUUAACCCUGAGCUUGCGGUCGAUACGGGCAUCACUGGAGUUCGGCAGGGGAGACUGGAAUUCCUGGUGUAGCGGUGAAAUGCGCAGAUAUCAGGAGGAACACCGGUGGCGAAGGCGGGUCUCUGGGCCGAUACUGACGCUGAGGAGCGAAAGCGUGGGGAGCGAUCAGG